AGGGAUUUAGUUUAGUGGUAGAAUGAUAGUCUCCAAAACUACAGGUGGGGGUUCGAUUCCCUCAAUCCCUGCCA
rnacentral:tRNA from 1 species